CCCAAAGCCACCCUAGAUUCAAAGAUUGGAAAACGGACACCACCUAUACCAUCUCUUGAAGUGAAAAGUUGAAGGAGUCGGGAGAGGAGAUGUUCAAAAGGCACCGUGGCUGGAGAAAACAAGUUAACCUCUUAUUUCCAGCCACUUGACCACCAAAUCCUGUUGGGAGUACCUCUUUAAUUCAGAGGCAUAUGUGGAUGAGGAAGACAGACGUAAAAAGAUAAUUAUAAAUCACUGCUCAAGAAAUCUUCAUGUCUCAUCAUCUCUCAUCUGGACAACCGUAUCAAUUUCCCAGUCCCCAGUAUGCCCACAUCCUCAACUUCAAUCUAAAAUACUGACAAA